AAAAAUAUAAAAUAGUAUUUAUUGGAUACCUUGGUAUUUAGUAUAUGAACGUGACAUUCGAAAAUAGAUAGUGAGAAUUAAAAAUUUUUCGUUUGUAGCUAUCAUGGUAGUACUAGCAUAUUGUUGUAGAUAUGUUAAUUACGUAAUUCAGUAUAACAAGUGAAUUGAAACAUCUUAGUAACUUGUUUAUGAUAAAACAAAAGAGAUUCUAGAAGUAGUGGUGAGCGAACCUAGAAAAGGGUAUUUGAUGGAGGUGGUCCUUGGUUAAAAUUAGAUUGGAAAACUAAACAAGAAAGGUGAAAGUCCUGUAUAAUCGUGCGAAGGGUCCAACAAAUAAAAAAGUAGAAUGUUGCCAGGCAACAGUAUUCGAAUAAAAGAAUACCACUUUUUAACCCUAAUAAAUACUAAAUAACCGAUAGUGUACAAGUACCGUGAGGGAAAGGUGAAAAGAUCUUAUUAAAAAGAGUAAAAAGACCUUGAAAAUAAAUACUAAAUAAGCAUUUGGAGCAAUGUUAAUAUUGUGACAAUAUACCUUUUGCAUAAUGGGUCAAUGAGUAUAUUUAUAUAGCAAGUGUAAGUCGUAAGAUGUACACGUAGUGAAAACGUAUUUAUAAGUUAUAUAAAUAUGACCCGAAACCAAGUGAUCUAUUCAUGAUCAGGUUGAGUACGUAUAAGACCUAUAUGUAGGAGGACCGAACCCGUGUAUGUUGCAAUAUACUGGGAUGAAUUGUGAAUAGGGGUGAAAGGCUAAUCAAACUUGGAAUAGCUGGUUUUUUGCGAAAUUUAUAGAGGUAAAGUAUUAUUUUUUACUUAUUAACUGUAAAGCACUUUAUAACUGAUGGGGAGUUUUUCUUACUGAAGUUAUGAAAACUUUGAAGGUAGGUAAAGUAAAUAAUAGUAAUCGGAAUAAAGGUGAUAAGGUCUUUAUUCAAAAGGGAGACAGCCCAGACUAUAAAUUAAAGUCUCUAAAUAUUUCCUUAGUGAUAUGAGAAGUUGAAUAAAGUAAGGAUUUAGGAUGUAGGCUUGGAAGCAGCCAUCAUUUAAAGAAAGCGUAAAUGCUCACUGAUUUCUUUUAUUUAAUUUUGCAAAUGUAAAGAGGCUUAAGGAAAUUACUGAAAUUAUAGGAACAAUGUUCGGUAGCAAAAUGCUUUGUAUAUAUCAAAGAUACAUCAAAAAGAUGUGUUAGUAAAUCAAAGUUAAUCAUAUUGACAUGAGUAACUUAAAUAAUGUGAGAAACAUUAUCACCGAAAAUCCAAGGGUUUCUGAUAAAAGGAUUAUCCAAUCAGAGUUAGUCGAUCUCUAAAAGAAAAACCGAUGUAAUUCUUGAUGAGAAUGACUGUAAAUGUGUUCAACCAUUCUAUGUAGUAACAAAGAAAAAAGUUGAUAUAAUAAAAAAUUAAAAUUUUUUUCUUUCGGGAAAAACUAUAGGAUUACUUGUAUUUAUAAUAGAUCGUACCCUAAACUGACACUAGUGGAUAGGUAGAGUAUACUAAGGUGAUUGAGUUAAUAAUAUUGAAGGAACUCGGCAAAUUAACUCUGUAACUUAGGGAGAAAGAGUUUCGUAAGUAGGCAUUGCCAGCUUAUGAAGUACAUAACAGGGGAGAACGACUGUUUAUCAAAAACACAGGACUUUGCAAAAUUGAAUAAAUGAAGUAUAAAGUCUGACGCCUGUCCGGUGCUGUAACUAGAAAGAAAAAGGUAUUUUGCUUUUUUCAUAAUAGCCAGUAAACGACGGUCCUAUCUUGAGGAUCCAAAGGUAGCGAAAUUCCUUGUCAUUUAAUUGAUGACCCGCAUGAAUGGCGUAACGAUUUUCCCACUGUCUCCAAUAUUAACUCAGUGAAAUUGAAUUUUCUGUGAAAAUGCAGAGUACUAGCAGUUAGACGGAAAGACCCUAUGCACCUUUACUAUAAUCAUUCAUUGUAGGUAGUAGAUUAAUUAUAUAGGAUAUAUAUGUGAAUUAAAAUGAAUUUGAUUCGUUGUUGUAAUAAUAUUUUAUUAAUCACUACUUGCUAUUAUGCAAUAAGUGUAAGUAAAGUGAAUGAUUGGUAGUUUGACUGGGGCGGUUGUCACCUAAAAAGUAACGGUGAUGUGCAUAAAGUAAACUUCAACUAUCUUGGUUUUAAAAUAUAAUGGUAUAAGUUUGCUUGACUGUUGGGCCAUCAAGCCCAACAGGAACGUAAGUUGGUCAUAGUGAUCCGGUAAAUCUGAGUGGAAAGAUUAUCGCUCAACGGAUAAAAGGUACGCUAGGGAUAACAGACUAAUGACUUCCCAGAGUCCAUAUCUACGAAGUCGUUUGGUACCUCGAUGUCGGCUCAUCACAUCCUGGAGUUGCAAGAGAUUCCAAGGGUUUAGCUGUUCGCUAAUUAAAGUGGUACGUGAGCUGGGUUCAGAACGGUGAGAACCAGUUCGGUCCCUAUCUGCUGCUAGUUGAAGAAAAUAGAAAUAAACUUUUUCUUAGUACGAAAGGACUGGAAAAAGCAUGCCUAUGGUGUACCAAUUGUAUAAUAUGAAAUGCAUCGUUGGGUAGCUACGCAUGUUAGAAUAAUUACUGAAGACAUAUAAGUAAGAAGUCUAUAUUUCAUGUUUUCUACGAGAUAGGCGAAAUAAUAUCGCUGUAUAGGUUAGACGUGUAAGCACAGUAAUGUGUUCAGCUGACUAAUACUAAUAAUCAAAAAUAUUUUUCUUU
rnacentral:rRNA from 1 species